GACAUGUGCCCGAAAAUUAAGGACCACUUUGAUAGAGUGCACCAUAAGAGUUUAAACCUCUUCAUGUCC
rnacentral:tRNA from 1 species